UACAGAGUUCCUGCCCUCACGGGUAGAAACCCCACCCUUGUGUAUACUAUAUUGUUGCUUUAGCAGGCCGCCUUUGGGCGUCGGCUCACGCUGACCGUGCCUGCUAGAGGACCCUAAACUUUGAAAUACAGUGUCGUCUGAGUACUAUUCAAUAGUUAAAACUUUCAACAACGGAUCUCUUGGUUCUGGCAUCGAUGAAGAACGCAGCGAAAUGCGAUAAGUAAUGUGAAUUGCAGAAUUCAGUGAAUCAUCGAAUCUUUGAACGCACAUUGCGCCCCUUGGUAUUCCGAGGGGCAUGCCUGUUCGAGCGUCAUUUAUACCAACUCCUCUGCAAAGAGGGUCUUGGACUUCGCCUCUGGGCGGGUCUCAAAAUCAGUGGCGGUGCCUUGAGGCUCUACGCGUAGUAAUACACCCCGCGAUAGAACCCUUAGGGUAUCUUGCCAGCAACCCCCAACUUCUUAGGUUGA
rnacentral:rRNA from 1 species